rnacentral:rRNA from 1 species
CCUACGGGAGGCAGCAGUGGGGAAUAUUGCACAAUGGGCGCAAGCCUGAUGCAGCGACGCCGCGUGGGGGAUGACGGCCUUCGGGUUGUAAACUCCUUUCGCUAGGGACGAAGCUUUUUGUGACGGUACCUAGAUAAGAAGCACCGGCUAACUACGUGCCAGCAGCCGCGGUAAUACGUAGGGUGCGAGCGUUGUCCGGAAUUACUGGGCGUAAAGGGCUCGUAGGUGGUUUGUCGCGUCGUCUGUGAAAUUCCGGGGCUUAACUCCGGGCGUGCAGGCGAUACGGGCAUAACUUGAGUACUGUAGGGGUAACUGGAAUUCCUGGUGUAGCGGUGAAAUGCGCAGAUAUCAGGAGGAACACCGAUGGCGAAGGCAGGUUACUGGGCAGUUACUGACGCUGAGGAGCGAAAGCAUGGGUAGCGAACAGGAUUAGAUACCCUGGUAGUCCAUGCCGUAAACGGUGGGCGCUAGGUGUGAGGGUCUUUUCACGACUUUCGUGCCGUAGCUAACGCAUUAAGCGCCCCGCCUGGGGAGUACGGCCGCAAGGCUAAAACUCAAAGGAAUUGACGGGGGCCCGCACAAGCGGCGGAGCAUGUGGAUUAAUUCGAUGCAACGCGAAGAACCUUACCUGGGCUUGACAUACACCGGAUCGGGCUAGAGAUAGUCUUUCCCUUUGUGGCUGGUGUACAGGUGGUGCAUGGUUGUCGUCAGCUCGUGUCGUGAGAUGUUGGGUUAAGUCCCGCAACGAGCGCAACCC